rnacentral:lncRNA from 1 species
GCUGGCUUCAGCGCUGGCGUGACAUCGCUUUCCCAACCGUACAACCUGGGAACUUCUCCCUCCUGGUUCCCUCUCCUCCACCUUUGCUCUUUAGGAGGGUCUGGGAUGCGAGCGGACCCCUCCAGUGGCAGGAUGGGUCCCCUCCCAGGGACCUUCCCCUCCCGGAGCCAAGCACACCAACAUCCUCCUCCCUUCUUUCUGGAUCUGGGCAGCAUGAAUGUGUCUCCCUUCUCAACCCCGCAUUCCCAUCCCUCUAGGCUUUCUCUAUCCUCCAUCCUCAUGGGCUUGUUUUCUUCGGUGCCUGGAUGCCAUCCUGCCAUGAAUUCACAGGACAAACCUAGACCUUGGGGCUUGCUGUGUGAGGCUGGAUUGAGGAUGUUUGCCUGCGAGUGCGUGCAAAGUCCUGACGUGCUGCGAGUCUGGCUCAGCUAAACAAAUAGCAGCCUUGGCCUCCCUCCCCACCCCAGGGUAUGUCACAGGUGAGUGGUUUAAUGACGAAAAAUCUAAAUGUGUGACCACCCCAGGCUGGUCUCGGGUCAAGCUGAGACCUUGGUCCCAUUCCAGGCGCUUGGAGGUUUGAGGAGGAGAGGGAUGUUUUGGGUGUCCCCGCAGGUCGCAGGGCAACGGGACCUUGGCUUGGGUGGGAAACGCAGCCCAGGGACGGCGGCGCUGGCACGAGUCGCCAGGAGGUAUGAGAGUCGCCGGGAGGAGAGAUGAGACUUUUUUUCUGUGUACAUAUAAUUUGCUGGAAUAGAAAGAAAUCAGAAAACAACCCCCAAAAACCUGUAUCAAAGAAACCAGGGCAGCUUUUCCCAGUGAAACAAAACCCAAACCAUCAGUGAGAAAACAUUGGCUGGGUCAACCUGCCACAAGCCAGUCUUCUGGGAUUGCAUAAACUUCAUAAAAAAAGCUCACUUCUUUCUUUGUACUUAUUUUUUUAUAAAACUUUUUAAUUCAGGUCCACUUCAAAAUGAAAAGAGGCUUCUUGAAACAAAAAAAGCAUUGUGGUUUGCUUUGAGAACAUCUAAAUGAGCCCUUUCGGCACUGCGCCAGUCCUCGCCCUUUCCCUUUGCCCAAACGAUGCCCCGCAGCCCCGUUAGAUGCCAGCUCCAAAGCCUUGUGUCCACACAGGUCACUUGCCCCCAUCUCCAGGAGGGGUGCUUGGGUGGGAGGCGAGUGUGUCACACUGUGUCCUGGUUUCAGCUGGGAUAGAAUUAAUUGUCUUCCUAGUAGCUGGUACAGUGCUAUGUUUUGAGUUCAGUAUGUGAAGAAUGUUGAUAACACACUGAUGUUUUCAGUUGUUGCUAAGUAGUGUUUAGUCUAAAGUCAAGGAUUUUUCAGCUUCUCAUGCCCAGCCAGUGAGAAAGCUGGAGGGGCACAAGAAGUUGGCACAGGACACAGCCAGGGCAGCUGACCCAGACUGGCCAACGGGGUAUUCCAUACCAUGUAAUGCCACAUCUAG